CCCACCUCUACUAAAUAGUUUCAUCUCUUUUUAUUUCACAACAUAUUAUAUUUUGCGUAUUUUCCGUUAUUUUGCCGGUUAUUAGCGCACUCAUCACUGUGUACUUAUUGAUUUUCUAGUUUUAUUUUCGUUUUUAAGCGUACUGCUAAUCCACAGUACGUUCGAGUCUAAGCAGCAGGUUCUUUUAGAUUUUAUACUGCUUUGUUAGCAUAUUUACUUCCUGGUCACGGUUUGAACCAUCGAUCCAUUAGAUCAUUCACAGUGAAGUAAAUGCGAUUAGUCCGCUUGGCUAUGAGGCUGAUAAUUUGUAAUUUAUAUUUAAAUAUAUUAACAUGUUAAACUUUUACGUAUCAUAUCAAUGUUAUUGCUCGCUUAUUUGUUCCAUAUAGUGUAGACCAACUGAUAGCGCAUGUUUUGUUAUUAUCUUUUAUGAUUAUUAUAAUUUUUAAAUGUUAACUAAAACUAAAUUUAUAGAGUAUUUCUAAUUCCUGUUGUGUUUAAAGUGUUAUAUAGCUCAGUCUUUUUUUUCCAUUGAAAUUUGCAGUGUACUUAGUAAUACCUCCCCUGCUAGAUAUUAUUAUGAAACCAUCUGUUUGAUUUCGAUUUCCAAUUGGAUAUUUAGCAUCCGUUGAUAGGCUUGUAGACAAAUAAAUGAAAUUACUUAUAAUUUACACAAGCUCUUUUUUUAAGAGGUUGUUUUAUAGCUUAUUCAGUAUUGAAAAUAUAUCACACAUCACAUUAAAUAUAUGAUUUGUUAGUACGUCCCUUGACCAAAAAA
rnacentral:lncRNA from 1 species